rnacentral:rRNA from 1 species
CCUACGGGUGGCAGCAGUGGGGAAUAUUGGACAAUGGGGGCAACCCUGAUCCAGCCAUGCCGCGUGUGUGAAGAAGGCCCUCGGGUUGUAAAGCACUUUCAGUGAGGAAGAACGCCUGGUGGUUAAUACCCAUCAGGAAAGACAUCACUCACAGAAGAAGCACCGGCUAACUCCGUGCCAGCAGCCGCGGUAAUACGGAGGGUGCGAGCGUUAAUCGGAAUUACUGGGCGUAAAGCGCGCGUAGGUGGCUUGAUAAGCCGGUUGUGAAAGCCCCGGGCUCAACCUGGGAACGGCAUCCGGAACUGUCAAGCUAGAGUGCAGGAGAGGAAGGUAGAAUUCCCGAUGUAGCGGUGAAAUGCGUAGAGAUCGGGAGGAAUACCAGUGGCGAAGGCGGCCUUCUGGACUGACACUGACACUGAGGUGCGAAAGCGUGGGUAGCAAACAGGAUUAGAUACCCGAGUAGUC